rnacentral:rRNA from 1 species
GAUGAACGCUGGCGGCGUGCUUAACACAUGCAAGUCGAACGGGAAACCUUUUAUUGAAGCUUCGGCAGAUUUAGCUGGUUUCUAGUGGCGGACGGGUGAGUAACGCGUGGGUAACCUGCCUUAUACAGGGGGAUAACAACCAGAAAUGGUUGCUAAUACCGCAUAAGCGCACAGGACCGCAUGGUCCGGUGUGAAAAACUCCGGUGGUAUAAGAUGGACCCGCGUUGGAUUAGCUAGUUGGCAGGGUAACGGCCUACCAAGGCGACGAUCCAUAGCCGGCCUGAGAGGGUGAACGGCCACAUUGGGACGGAGACACGGCCCAGACUCCUACGGGAGGCAGCAGUGGGGAAUAUUGCACAAUGGGGGAAACCCUGAUGCAGCGACGCCGCGUGAAGGAAGAAGUAUCUCGGUAUGUAAACUUCUAUCAGCAGGGAAGAUAGUGACGGUACCUGACUAAGAAGCCCCGGCUAACUACGUG